rnacentral:tRNA from 1 species
CGCGGGGUGGAGCAGCCUGGUAGCUCGUCGGGCUCAUAACCCGAAGGUCGUCGGUUCAAAUCCGGCCCUCCGCAACCA